rnacentral:tRNA from 1 species
UAGCUCAGUUGGUAGAGCAUGGUGUUUGCAACGCCAGGGUUGUGUGUUCGAUUCCCAU